rnacentral:rRNA from 1 species
AUGUUGACCGUGAUUUGGAGGAUGGGGAUGUCACCCGUGGUCAGAUUACUAUGUUGGAGUACUACAAAUACUAUGCUCACUAUCGUGAAGAGGCUGAUCGGUUGGAGUACCAUUUCCAUAAACAAGAUAAACUUCAUUCUGAAUCUUAUCGGGGCAUAUCUGAUGCAAUGGGUGUACAAUAAUAAGUGUGCUUGCAUGAAGAAUGAUUGUUGUUCCAAGUGCUUUCCAAAGCCAUUUAGUGAUGAUACAAUGGUUGAUCGUGUUGGCUAUCCGGUUUACCGUCGUUCUGAUAACGGGCUUUAUGUGCUCAGACAGAAAGACUUACUUUAUUUGGGAAAUCAAUGGGUUGUUCCAUACAACAUGAAAUUGUUGAAGAGGUUUGACGCCCACAUAAAUGUGGAGUGGUGUAACAGGACAAAUUUAUUGAAAUACCUGUUUAAAUAUCUUACAAAGGGUCAUGAUGUGGUUCAUAUGCGUUUCUACGCUCAAGAUAAACCUAGCAGUGUUUUUAUUGUGCCUUCUCCUACUGGCGGAAACGAGAUUGACCAGUACAUCAAAUAUUAUAAUAUUUCCGUCAAUGAUCAUAAUUACUAUGCUCUUGAAGUUACAAAGGAAAAAACUUUUUGCAGAGCACAGACAAAGCAAUGGCAGUUCAAUAUGGCCCGUCAGCAAGUAGCUACACAGCAAAACAAGCUUACAAGACAAACAAUAAUCCUAGCAAAAAUAUGCAACAACUUGUUUGAUAUAUUGCCACUUUUAAGACAAACAAGUAGUACCCUCAGCACCCAAACAGCGAUGAUCCUGUCAUCACGUACACAGGCGCGCAUCCUCCUGUUGGACGUGUACAAGCAUUUGCAAAAUAUCUGUACCACUUUAUCACAAACACCAAUCCUGCAGGAGGAUAUACGAGGAUGA